UUUCAUUUUUAUGGAGUGAUGUGUUCUUACAGUCUUCAGCAAUGGUACUAAUUGCUUCUUCUAUAUCAUAUUAUCCAUUAUUUAUGUCGUUCAUUUAAUGAAUCUUUCAGUAGGUUUUCAACCUUGAAACUAAAAUUACCAUGUUGAAGGUUUAAUAAAUGAUAUUCGUUUGUAGAAACUAAAAUUAACCUCUAAAUAUGAUUUUAAUCGAAAGCUUUUAACACAUCAAGAAAUAAAGCGGAUCAAAUUAUUUUUAAAGUAAAACAUAACAAGUUGAAGAAGCUAUUACUAAAAUUACGGAACCUUUUCAUUAUAUUAUUCAUUCUAAUUAAUUAAUUGUAGUAAUAGUACUACUUACUCUUAAUAAUUAUUUUUAUUAGCUAUUAUUAUUUCCAAAACACAUUUUAAACAGACAUUUAGUAACACGUUUUUACUUGGUAUAUUAAAAUGUGGAAAGGUCAAAAGAUUUUUAGUAAGAAUAAUAAUCCUGCAGAGAAUUAACAAAAUGUUUUGAAAGAAGUAUCCUGUUAAUUGAAUUGGCCAACCAUUGAAGUUAUUUCAUUUAAGAAUGAAAGACGUCGAUCCAGAAAUGUAUCAUUAUGCACUGAAUUAUUACUAUACUGAGGAAAUGAACGCAACAAAGGAAUAUUCCAUUGUGCAAUAGAUUGGACUGGCUUUCAAUUGGUUAUUACUAGACCCUCAACGAGAAUGUUGCCACGAUAAGAUCAUGCUUCAACAUCGUUCCAUCCUCCAUGAUUACUGGAUUUUUAUUGGAUAAGAACGGUUGUUAUUUCUAUAAAAAUAGGAAAGAAAGAUAUCUUAGGAUUCAAGAAUAUCAUUCGAUAAUAUGUAUUCGUCAGUUAGUCGAUAGUUUCUCGUCCGAAAGAUUCAUUAUGCACGUAAAGAUUGAGAAAAACAAGAGAACUAUUCAAGAGAUCAUCUGAAGGGAUAUUGAAGAACAUAGGUGCAGCAAAUAUGUAUAGAUGAAAGAGAAUAAAUUUAUCUAUCGAAUCUGCUAGUCUAAUAACAAUCGUAGAGGUGGAGAAAAGCAGUUUAUUACAAAUAAUGCUUAAGAAGAAUUGUUUUGAAGGAAGAAAAUUUUGUGGAAACUAAUGAACGAUCGUUGAUGAAAGAAGAAUAAAAUGCGGACCACGUUCUUGUAUCAAUCUUGCUAUAGCAAUCUAUCCUUAUACGUACGUUUAUCUAUUCAAUGGACCAAUUUAGCGGUAGACGCUUUGUUUCCAAGCUUUUUAUGGAAAAGAACAAAAAAUCCACAUGCUAAAGCAUCAACGAAGAUUCUAGAGAUUAAUAUUUAUUAUAAUGAUAGUAAGAAGCGUAAACCAAAACAUUGACUUAUUUGAGAUUUUUUUUUUGGCGAUAAGUUGAAAGGAUAAGUAAUUAAAUUUAUUGCAAUACUAAUUUCAGAUGUUUGAUUAACUAAUUACUUAUUAUACUAUGAUCAAAAGCUCGAUCACUGAAUCUAAUGUCUAUAGCAUUAAACGGUCUCAGUGUGGCUUAGACAUAUUCGAAGGAUAUGCCGAUUGUUUAUUUCGACAAAAUUUACGGGUAGUCGAGUUAAAAGAACAAAACGAAUAGAUGAUUACCGGGUUGUAUUCUCGAAUGUCUGAAGGAGGAAUGAAUUAAAGAGUCAGCUGAAUCAAUUAUUUAACAUGUAUGAUACGUCCAGUCAUUAGAAACUAAAUAAGAACUAGUUUUAUUAAUUACGUUUGAACCUUUUUAACAUUUAAUAAAAUAAAAGUUGUUAUCAACCAGAAAAUUAAAAUCGCAUUUCUUCAAUAACUAUCGAUUUAAAAUGGAAAAAUGAUACCGUUGUAAAAAGAAUAAAAAGGUGUUUCAAAUGAUAUGUCUCCCGGCCCCUUUUGCCGUUUAAAAUUUUUGAGGCGGUUGUCAUUUCCUUAAGGAGUAAGCCUAAGGAAAAAUGCAUUUAUGAUAAGGACCUAUUCUCCUUGAAGACCAUCUAAACUAGAUAUGACGUUUUCUGAAAAAGUCAUUAAAUUUCAUAAUAAUCCUGAUGGAUUCUUUACAUUUGGAUAUAUAUGUAGGUUACAUAUGGUGACUGAUAUCUUUCCAUUUUUCUCAUUUUGUUUUUCUUCUUAUCUUUGUGUGUUAUAUAUGAACUUGUUCUGUUAUUAAAAGUAUUUUAUGUUAAUGAUUUGUAUCAACGUAAAUACAAUAUAUAAUGUGCCAUAUAUAAAGCAUCCAUAAGUUAUUAAAGUGAGAUAAGUUAGUCGUCCUAAAUGUUUACGAUUUCUAAUAAAAUUUUUUUGUGCGAUUUUGAGAGAAAGGAGAAGGACAUGUAAGUUAACAAUAUUAUUGGAACAAUAAACAGAAAAAUAUUCAUUAUUGCAUAAUUCUGUUGAGUUACCAUGUGUAAUACGUCGAAUCGAUAUAAAUAAUUGAUAUGAGAAAAAUAAUUCGAGAUGACUUGCUUCAAUUAUUGAUCAUUACGUAAAUAUGUAUGAUAAUUCAUAUGUAAUAAUCACAUAUAUAUGUUA